ACCUUUAUGGCAAUAUUGUAACCAGUGAGGUUAAUCCGAGGCACAAUUAUUGCUAAUUGAAAUCUUUGUGUGCCUCCUCCGCGAGAGGUCCAGAGGGCAGCGAGAUGAGAAAGGGCCUUUUCUGUGGUGGCUUCCCCACAUGUGG